rnacentral:rRNA from 1 species
GACGAACGCUGGCGGCGUGCCUAAUACAUGCAAGUAGAACGCACAGUUUAUACCGUAGCUUGCUACACCAUAGACUGUGAGUUGCGAACGGGUGAGUAACGCGUAGGUAACCUGCCUGGUAGCGGGGGAUAACUAUUGGAAACGAUAGCUAAUACCGCAUAAUAUUAAUUAUUGCAUGAUAAUUGAUUGAAAGAUGCAACUGCACCACUACCAGAUGGACCUGCGUUGUAUUAGCUAGUAGGUGAGGUAACGGCUCACCUAGGCGACGAUACAUAGCCGACCUGGGAGGGUGAUCGGCCCCCCUGGGACUGGGACACGGCCCAGACUCCUACGGGAGGCAGCAGUAGGGAAUCUUCGGCAAUGGACGAAAGUCUGACCGAGCAACGCCGCGUGAGUGAAGAAGGUUUUCGGAUCGUAAAGCUCUGUUGUAAGAGAAGAACGGGUGUGAGAGUGGAAAGUUCACACUGUGACGGUAUCUUACCAGAAAGGGACGGCUAACUACGUG